CAUCGGCAGUAAUAAAGCAUCCUGCCCAGGGAAAGCUUGGGUUGCCAUGGGAACGGGGUGACAGUGGAUAAUCCUGGUGACAACACCGGACGAGCUCAGAGCGGGCUCUGCUGACCCGUGAAAUAAUUUACAUGGGACUGAAGACAAACUCCAUGGCAGGGGAAGGGAAGCAACUGCAGGAGCAACGGGAUGACAGAGACACUCUAUGUUCCCCCAGCCCCCGUGCCCGCAGCUCAUCAGUGGGUCUGAACUGUUUGAUUAUCCAAUGCAAAGGGAAUUAACCACAGUUUUAAUCUCGUGGAACACAGCAACCUCCAGGACUCACCCGCACCGCUGCACCCAGCGUCCAGCUGAUUAAUGGCUUCAGACAUUUUGCACCUACAACACUUGAGUCCUUCCAACAAAAGCUGUUAGCGCUUCUCCUCAAAGGAAGCGACGUUGCCAAAACCUGGAGGUACCACCACAAAGAUCCAUAUCUGAGAUCAAAAUAUCACACUGUGUGUUUCUCUCGGGGAGAACGCGAAUGAGGCAGACGUGCCUUCCUGCAGCAGCUCCCAGCUUUGUGCUCCAUGGAGAUCCCCAGGGCCCCUGGCUGCCGCCAGCCACCAGCACUUCAUCCCCUGCUGCUGCACGCCUGGUGCCACAAAGGCACUGAAGUUACACCUCAUUUUCUAUUAAUUAUACUCUGAAAAAGCCAGGCACGAACGCAAGGCAGCCCUGCCCUGCAGCAGUCCUCCUCUGUCCAUGCUUCAACCAUGCUGCA
rnacentral:lncRNA from 1 species